UUAACUCAAAUUUGUAUGGAGUUGAAACAAGCUUCCUGCCUAUGCCGCUAGAGGCGCUGUUCCAACUCCAUACAAAUUUGAGUUG
rfam:Bombyx mori DNA, contig: Bm_scaf15_contig11896, strain: p50T/Dazao, build 2, whole genome shotgun sequence.